UCUGAGACCACUUUCAAGCAUGUUUUAUGUA
rnacentral:piRNA from 1 species